CUGUCACCAACUGUCUUCUCACUCUGGGGUCCAAUUCACUUUCAAAUGCCUUCUAACAAUGUCUUCUCUGGCUCAGCUCAGCUUCUACUGGCUCAAUGUUGCCUACUUUCACUCUGCUCAAUCUCUUUUGUCCACCAACUGCCCUCUCUUCUUUCCUCCUGUGCCAACUGUCUGCUCUAACCCCAUUCUCUGAAUCUAAUCCCCCUCUCAGGAACCUCUCCUGAGUUUUUCUAUCUUCCCCUCUCGCUCCCAACUCCUCCCUCUGCCGAAAUCUCGCGCUCUUGCCUUUAUUUUACAAAUUCAGAGAGAACUCCAAGGCAAACCACAACACAGGUCAUAGCUUCUUUGUGUCAGUCUGUCACCAACAGUGAAUUUGUCCUGUCAUUCCUUGUGCAGGACAGUAACUUUGUGUGAGGUGGAUGCAAGCCUCAGUGGUGCAGUGAUUAAAAUUCCAGGGAAAUUGCAUGCUAUACGAAACAUUCAGAUCUGUCCACAAUUCAAAAAAAAAGAUCAACUCUGUAAGAAAUUCUACUUGAGAGGAAGAUAUGACCAGAAACUCAGUAUGGAAAGCUGAUGUCAGGGAUGACAUAUGAGUCCCUGGGAAGAGAUAUUUGCUUUUGGAACAGGGAAGAAAUGAGGGGAGAUUACUAUGGUCUUAAGAGAAUGCCUGCACUUUACUGAAAACCACCAAUGGACAACGAAAAGUACCUCAGUUCUAGGAGUUGAACAAUAUAAAUAAUGCAAACUGCGCUACCUGAGCUCAUCUGUAAAUCAGAGCUUUGUCCUCUGUGAAAGAGGAAGGUGAAGCUAUGCACACAGUCUUCUGGAGAUCAAUGAAGUCAUGAUCAGAAAAAUUCCUCCCUUGCAACCCAAUCUCUGAGUACCUUAGAGUCACGGGUAACUUCAUAUGUACUCUUUGACCAAACUCAGGGCCAUUCAUGCUUUGUGUGACAUUUUCUGUUAUUCUGUUAUUCAAAGGCAAAGCACCCCUUGUCACUAAGGCUUUUUAGGUUAUUUCUUGGUGACAGCUCUGUAAUUUAUUUUUCUUCUGCCUACCCAAUAUGAUGAACAGUCUGUAGAAGGCAAGCUCUGCUUAACCACACUGACUCCAGGUGGUCCACCAUCCUCUGGUGACUGUGUAGCUACAGGAAGGCCUACCUCUCCCCCAUACACCUCAAGAGUCUUGGCCACCCAUCAGAGACAACUAUGUAUCUGCUUGAGAGGAGAUUUGGAAGUCUAAAUACUCACUAGUUCAGCGACACCCUGUUUUUCUUCCAACCUUUCUUCCCCUGUGAGCUGUACUAU
rnacentral:lncRNA from 1 species